UCUUUAUGGGUGGGGUUGUGUCCUAACCUAGGUUCCCUCUCUUCGCACAUUCAAAGCCGCAGACCUUUCUUGCAAUAAAUUCUUUAUCAACCAAAGCAUUUUCCAAAAGCUCAAUCACCCAGAAUGAAUCUCUGAACACGCAUAGAGCAGUGUGUUGAACCCAUCCUUUUGGAAGAGGCCCUUUGGAAACAAGGGCAUCUCCUUCCUGCACACGGAUCCUCUAAUUAGGUCCCCCUCCACCCCCAAAACUGCAAAACGAUUUUGGGCUUUUGCACAUGCAAUAUAUUUUACGUAUGUGUGAAAAAGACACCUUAAGAACA